rnacentral:rRNA from 1 species
GACGAACGCUGGCGACGUGCCUAAUACAUGCAAGUUGAGCGCUGAAGGUUGGUACUUGUACCGACUGGAUGAGCAGCGAACGGGUGAGUAACGCGUGGGGAAUCUGCCUUUGAGCGGGGGACAACAUUUGGAAACGAAUGCUAAUACCGCAUAACAACUUUAAACACAAGUUUUAAGUUUGAAAGAUGCAAUUGCAUCACUCAAAGAUGAUCCCGCGUUGUAUUAGCUAGUUGGUGAGGUAAAGGCUCACCAAGGCGAUGAUACAUAGCCGACCUGAGAGGGUGAUCGGCCACAUUGGGACUGAGACACGGCCCAAACUCCUACGGGAGGCAGCAGUAGGGAAUCUUCGGAAAUGGACGAAAGUCUGACCGAGCAACGCCGCGUGAGUGAAGAAGGUUUUCGGAUCGUAAAACUCUGUUGGUAGAGAAGAACGUUGGUGAGAGUGGAAAGCUCAUCAAGUGACGGUAACUACCCAGAAAGGGACGGCUAACUACGUGCCAGCCGCCGCCGUAA